CUUAAUAUAUAUUUAAAUAAACUUAUAUAUUAUGUCUAAUGGAAGUAGAUAAGAUUGUGUAUGGAAUCGGUGUUGCUAUUGGUGAUGCAACUAUUGCAUCACCAAUAGCAACACAGUAGCACAUUUAAUUAAUACUGGUGUAACUUAUAGAUGUAAAGUCUGGACUCCGCAUUAUCUGAAAACGGAAACUCAGAAACAGAACUGAAACAUAGAGAUUUCGUUUUAACUUGACUCCACUAGAAAUUCACCAUUAGAGUAGUUUACUGACAAUAAGAAUUGAUAUUUUCAUUUAACAGAAUCCUCCAGAAAUUGCAAAGUCCUCUGUAUUGGAAAAGAAGAACACUGGUUACAGGCAGUGAAUUUUGAUAAAUUAUUUUCUGAAGUUUCUAAAAAUGACUUCAAAAGACGAAAAAAGAACUAAAAUCUCUCUUGUAGACACAAAGAAUCAUAUAUUAGAAUCUUACAGUGGCAUUCCUCAUCCUAAGCCAUCUUCAUCAUUUUCUCAACUUCAUUCAAUCAACAAAAGUCUUGGCUUUUUAAGUAUAAAAACAACAUCAAGUAAUAUCUUUCAAAGUAAUUUAAAGCCUCAAUCUUAUGAAUUUACAGAAACUGGAAAAAGAAAACUUAAUACAUAUUUUUCAAGUUCAUGUAAAAACAGAUUUUUGUUAAAUCAAAAUGUUACUAAUCCUUUUCUCUCAAAAGCCAUACCUAUUAAUUAAU
rnacentral:misc_RNA from 1 species